GGAGCGCCGCAGCCUCGGCAGUGCUGGUGCGAGGUUGUUCUCGGGCUGGGUGUGUGGGAAUAGACCAUCUCCGGUAGUCAAGGAUGUGCAAGUGAAGUCGAUUUAGAAACCAGCUAAUCAUCUGUCUUGCUUAAGCCGAUUUAUUUUUGUUUGAAAAGUUGUUGAUAUUUGUUACUGCUGUGUACUCCUGCACGCCGCUCUGAGGUGGUGUCAGUGGGAGGCAGCCGGGAUGGCUGUCAGUACUACAGCACGUUCUGAAAAGUUAAACCAUGAUUUACAGUGAAACAGCUGUUGUAAUGUCGGUCGUCAAAAUUUGUUUGUUAAUAACGUUUUUAUUUCUGCUCGAUACGUUGAAACAGCCCUCUGAACAACGUGUGUUCUCUGUUCAGCACAGUGUGACACUGCCCAACACUUCUCAUCCACUUCUCUGCUGUUUACGCUGUGUCAUAAGACAAAUUGCACUGCUGUUAACUGGAAAAUCUGGUCUAGCAUACAUGAUGUGCAUUUAGAGUGACAGUUCUGUACCUUGAUCUACACUUAAUGGUACUCUGGAUGGAGCAUCUGGUAGAACAAGUUUUCCUUAGGACAUAUGAAGAAGAAACUACAUGCUGUGAUGCCAGGCAAACUCCUGCAUGCUUUAUCAUGGGCACCUGAUGAGGGAAGUGCUUUCCUGUAGCUCCUGUUUCACAGCUGAUAAAUUCUGCUUGAUGCAGCUGGUAAUGA